rnacentral:misc_RNA from 1 species
GUGGUGUUUGGAUCGUCUCUGCCGGCUGGCUCCGUGCCCGUCCACCGAACGGCCGGCAGGCGAUCCGCUUCGGUCGCGCGAGGUGGUUGUAUGCACAUGGUUAUUUACCCAGAGGCCGGUUCUUGUGUUGCCUACCCCUUCGGGGGAACCACGGGCCACUUGAUGUAAGCCUCCAUCCGGCGCCCUCCGUGGGCGCCGGAGGACAGAGGAGCACCCCCCGCGUUCCACCGAGCCCCCGUCGGUCGCGUGGCACGCGGGGACGUGCGAUGCUCUCGGACCCAGCGCACGCCGCGGGCGAGGACUCCCACGUCCCAGUCCCAAGAGAAGCUUCGAUGCGAUGCUGACGGCCGCUCCCGCCCCCGACCGCCCCGGCGGCGUGAGGGCGAGGCGCGGCGUCGCGGAGGGAUGCUACCU